GCUGGACCUUAUCCAUUCAGUUCCCUCGAUCCAUUUCUCUCAGCUCUACGAAAAAUCAACCCCAGAUCCAACGCGCACUAGCCCCAAAUCUCGACGACCGCCGUUGCCGCAAAUUCCAGUGACGCCGGCGACCUCCGCGUCCCACAUCCCAUCCUCUCUCUCUCUUGUUCCAAGCCGCAUGACCUUCACUCCGUUUUUGUUGCGAGUCAAGCACGGGAGCUGGAACCACCUGCGGCUCGUGCCGAGUCGUCGGUGCACCGGCUACCGCCUGAUCCGGAGUUGAACCAGCACCGCGAGGUGUUGCAACCGGAGCUGGAACCGGCGAACUUCAGAGCUACCAACCGUGCAGCCGGCGAAUAAGUUGCAUCCACACCGACCAGGUCUGGAAUCGGACGAGCAGGCAAGUCGUUUUGCUGGAACCGGCCUUUUGUUUUGCUACAACCGACAAAGUUUUUGCUGCUUCGGCGAGGUGUUUCAUUGCGACAGUCAGCGGCGACGGCGGUGAUGUAUUUUGUUGGAACUGUAUUUGAUUUUUGCUACUACCGGUGACAGUGGCUUUUUUGCUGAUGAAUUUUGUUUUUUUUGCUGGAACAUGGUGGUGGGAGCUGAUGAUGCGUCAAACCAGAGUUGGACGAUGAAGGCGAUGCUACAACCUUCAUCAGUAGAUGCUACAACCUUCAAUGGCGGGAGCUAUAAGCAGCGAUGGCGAGAUGAAAAAGCUAUGACCAUGGAGUCGAUUUGCUCGGACGGGGGACGGCGGUGGUAGCGGAGCUGCAACAGCGGCUGGUGGUGGAGAUGGGACGGUGUGCCCCCGUGCUGCAACCAUGGGGCGGUCAGCGCGGCGAUAGCGACCUCUGGCGCGCCGGCACAAGCAAACCGACGGCGAGCGCGGAUGAGGAGGAGCGCAACCGGAUGAGGAUGAGCGAUUGCGCUAGGCUCUGUCCCCUUUUCUUUUUUUCCUUUUUGUUUAGAUGAACGAGAUCGUACGGUUUAAAAGUGACGUAUCGUGCAGUAGCGCAGCGACCGGCCCAAAUUUGGGCCGGCGCACCGGCGCCUAUCACUCGCCUUAUGAUAAAGGGAAAAGAGAGUAUAGAUUGUCAACUCGUAUUUGCA